CGUGAGGACCCCCCCACGCCCCCUCCUGCUACCGCUUCGAUGCUGUUUACGCCGCCGCCAGCUCCACCGCCGCCGUCUACGAGGGCUCCGUCCGCCCGCUGCUGGCCCAGUUCCUGGCCGGCCGCGACGUCACCAUUCUCGCCUACGGGCCCAGCGGCUCCGGGAAGACUCACACCAUGCUGGGCGGUGAAGGGGAGCCCGGCUUGGUGCAGCGCGCCCUCGAGGAGCUUCUGCAGGCCGUGGGGGCCGGCCGCCGCCUCAGCGUGGCCUGCAUGGAGGUGUACUGCGAGGAGGUGCAGCCUGGUCCCUGCUGGGCACUGCUUGGGUGCUCCCCAGCGCUGUCCUUCUGUGGCCAG